rnacentral:rRNA from 1 species
UACGGGGGGGGGCAAGCGUUGUUCGGAAUUACUGGGCGUAAAGGGCUCGUAGGCGGCCAACUAAGUCAGACGUGAAAUCCCCAGGCUUAACCUGGGAACUGCGUCUGAUACUGGAUGGCUUGAAUUCGGGAGAGGGAUGCAGAAUUCCAGGUGUAGCGGUGAAAUGCGCAGAUAUCAGGAGGAACACCGAUGGCGAAGGCAGGUCUCUGGGCUGUAACUGACGCUGAGGAGCGAAAGCAUGGGGAGCGAACAGG